AUUGAACGCUGGCGGCAUGCCUAACACAUGCAAGUCGAACGGUAACAGGCCCGCAAGGGUGCUGAUGAGUGGCAGACGGGUGAGUAAUACGUAGGAAUCUGCCCUGUAGUGGGGGAUAGCCCGGCGAAAGCCGGAUUAAUACCGCAUACGCUCUACGGAGGAAAGCGGGGGAUCGCAAGACCUCGCGCUAUUGGAUGAGCCUACGUCUGAUUAACUAGUUGGUAGGGUAACGGCCUACCAAGGCGACGAUCAGUAGCUGGUCUGAGAGGAUGAUCAGCCACACCGGAACUGAGACACGGUCCGGACUCCUACGGGAGGCAGCAGUGGGGAAUAUUGGACAAUGGGGGAAACCCUGAUCCAGCAAUGCCGCGUGUGUGAAGAAGGCCUGCGGGUUGUAAAGCACUUUUGUUGGGAAAGAAAAGCCGUCGGCGAAUAUCCGGCGGUCUUGACGGUACCCAAAGAAUAAGCACCGGCUAACUCCGUAGCCAGCAGCCGCGGUAAUACGGGA
rnacentral:rRNA from 1 species